rnacentral:sRNA from 1 species
AUAAAUGAAAUCUAAAAAUUAUAUAAUAGGGAUCACUUCGGAUUAUAAUGAGAUACAUGAGAGAUUGGCGGGCACAUAUUGAUGAAAUUUUCCUUGUGUGAUUAUAUUUUAUAUAUAGCCAUCAACCAUUUGUGACUUCUUAUGAAUGAAUAUCCA